AAAAAAGUGGUCGCCAAGAGUGUUUUUUCCAUAUAGUGAGAGCUGCUCCAGUGAGCUUCCAUUAUAAAAUAUUGGACUCCCAUCAAACUGCACGCAUUGCAAGCUAGAAGAAAACCAGUUCUUGUUCCCCCAUUCCAUCUAUCAGUUUAACAUGCAGACAAUCCAAGGCCAACACUGCCUCAAGAGCCAGUUUCACAUCACCCAUGGUAACAUCCAUUCAACAGCAUCAUGCAAACUUGUACUACUAGUAUGGUUGUCUCUUUGCAGUGUUGUUUUGUCACAUAUUGUCAAGACUCUACCAGGCUACAAAGGUGAUCUUCCCUUCAAACUCGAAACUGGAUAUGUGAAUGUGAGUGUGGGAAAGUCCGAUGCUGUAAACCUAUUUUACUACUUCAUUGAGUCAGAGGGCAAUCCAAGAGAGGACCCUCUGAUGCUUUGGCUUACUGGAGGACCUGGUUGUUCUGGCUUUCUGGACUUGUCUAUGAAAUAGGUCCCUUAAAUUUUGACACAGAAAAUUUUGAUGGAAACUUUCCAACAUAUGUAUUGAAUCCGUAUUCCUGGACAGAGGUCGCCAACAUAAU